UGGAAAAGGAUGUGGAAUUGCACAGACAACCAGGAUGUUGGCUUAGAAGCAGCCACUCAUUUAAAGAGUGCGUAAUAGCUCACUGGUCGAGUGAUCCUGCGCCGAAAAUUUCCGGGGCUAAAACGUACUACCGAAGCUACGGCAUCAUUUAUGAUGGGUAGGGGAGCUUUCUAUGCGGCUUGAAGCAUGACCGUAAGGACAUGUGGACAGUAUACGAGUGAGAAUGUUGGCAUGAGUAGCGAGACGUGGGUGAGAAUCCCACGGGCCGUAAACCCAAGGUUUCCAGGGGAAGGUUCGUCCGCCCUGGGUUAGUCGGGACCUAAGCCGAGGCCGAAAGGCGUAGGUGAUGGACAACAGGUUGAUAUUCCUGUACCGCCAAUAAGCGUUUGAGAGAUGGAGUGACACAGUAGGAUAAGCUAACCGUACUGUUGGUUAUGUACGGCUAAGCAUUGAGGCAGUCUAAAUAGGCAAAUCCGUUUAGACAAUGCUAGGAUGUGAUGGGGAAGCCCUUCGGGGCGAAGUAGCUGAUUUCACACUGUCAAGAAAAGCUUCUAUCGAGUUUAAAGGCGCCCGUACCGUAAACCGACACAGGUGGGUGAGGAGAGUAUCCUAAGGCCAGCGAGAGAACUAUUGUUAAGGAACUCGGCAAAAUGACCCCGUAACUUAGGGAGAAGGGGUGCCUGUCUAUGACAGGCCGCAGAGAAUAGGCCCAAGCGACUGUUUACCAAAAACACAGGUUUCUGCUAAGUCGCAAGACGAUGUAUAGGAGCUGACGCCUGCCCGGUGCUGGAAGGUUAAGGGGAUCUGUUAGAGCAAUCGAAGCAGUGAACUUAAGCCCCAGUAAACGGCGGCCGUAACUAUAACGGUCCUAAGGUAGCGAAAUUCCUUGUCGGGUAAGUUCCGACCCGCACGAAAGGCGUAACGAUUUGGGCACUGUCUCAACAAUAGACUCGGUGAAAUUGUAAUCCCGGUGAAGAUGCCGGGUACCUGCGACAGGACGGAAAGACCCCAUGGAGCUUUACUGUAGCUUGACGUUGGGUCUUGGUACUACAUGUACAGGAUAGGUGGGAGACUAUGAAGCAUGGACGCCAGUCUGUGUGGAGUCAUCCUUGGGAUACCACCCUUGUAGUACUGGGAUCCUAACCAUAGGCCUUGAAUCAGGUCUUGGAACACCGUCAGGUGGGCAGUUUGACUGGGGCGGUCGCCUCCUAAAAAGUAACGGAGGCGCUCAAAGGUUUCCUCAGCACGGUCGGAAAUCGUGCGAAGAGUGUAAAGGCAAAAGGAAGCUUGAUUGCAAGACAUACAGGUCGAGCAAGGACGAAAGUCGGACUUAGUGAUCCGGUGGUACCGCAUGGAAGGGCCAUCGCUCAACGGAUAAAAGCUACCCUGGGGAUAACAGGCUUAUCUCCCCCAAGAGUCCACAUCGACGGGGAGGUUUGGCACCUCGAUGUCGGCUCA
rnacentral:rRNA from 1 species